rnacentral:rRNA from 1 species
GAUGAACGCUGGCGGCGUGCCUAACACAUGCAAGUCGAGCGAUCCUCUUCGGAAGAGAGCGGCGGACGGGUGAGUAACGCGUGGGUAACCUGCCUCAUACACAUGGAUAACAUACCGAAAGGUAUGCUAAUACAAGAUGAUAUAAUAGAUUCGCAUGGAUUUCUUAUCAAAGCUCCGGCGGUAUGAGAUGGACCCGCGUCUGAUUAGCUAGUUGGUAAGGUAACGGCUUACCAAGGCGACGAUCAGUAGCCGACCUGAGAGGGUGAUCGGCCACAUUGGAACUGAGACACGGUCCAAACUCCUACGGGAGGCAGCAGUGGGGAAUAUUGCACAAUGGGCGAAAGCCUGAUGCAGCAACGCCGCGUGAGCGAUGAAGGCCCUCGGGUCGUAAAGCUCUGUCCUCAAGGAAGAUAAUGACGGUACUUGAGGAGGAAGCCCCGGCUAACUACGUGCCAGCAGCCGCCGUAAAAC